GCCAAGUACUUGCAUGUUAGAUAGACAACGGAUCCGAAAGGAGCUAUUUUUAUCAUAUUUUGAAGUUCAAGUGUUUAGAUGGAGUCAAAAGUAGUUCAGUCAUAAGAAAGCUUUUAAGUUUCUGUAAUCACUAUUACACUAUGAUAUAUAUUCAACAUUAUAAUUAGGACUGUAUUAGCAUCCAUGUUCAUUCACAGUUUUGUUGGUCAUAUUGUUUGAUUUCUCGCAUCAUCGGAUAUUAUUCUAAAAUCAAAACACGGCAUGCAAAGUUUACUGUCCACUGAACUUGUGUUUUUUAGAUUUAUCAAAGAAAUUAGAUUAAAAAAAUGUUAUUUGACAAAAGUUCAUAAAGGUGUGUUUUAUCUAGGUAGCUACCAUUUGACUUUUUUGGGGGGGAGCUAGGGUCCUGAUGUUUUUAUCAUUAGUUUAUCCUGCCAUUUUUACAUGAAUUGUCAUCCUUCUAUUUUAUUUACAAACUUGCUCGUUCUGUUUUUUUUACUCAAAAUUCAGGCUUUGUUUUCCCUUCAAAUUUAAUCCUAGCCCUCCUAAAAAUCAAAUGAUAGCUCCCUUAACAUUAACAUGAAAAGAAAUAUUUAAAAACAAUUUAGUUUCUGACUUUCUUUUAUAUUUAAUGUAAUACCCAUUUCUAAUCGUUGUGACAUAUUUACACAAUAUAGUAAACCAAUUAUAAUUUUUUUCGGUUACAAUAAUUAUAAAUUGAAAUGAUCUCAGAUUUUUAUUAUGCUUACCACUUGGAAUUGUUCAAUUUCAAAUACAUUAGCGCAAAAGAAACAAACUUAACAAAUUUUUGAGAAAAAUCAAUGAACAUAAACAGAUCAAAAGGAAACAGUAGAUAGAGAUCAAUACAGCAUAGGAAAAUAUUAAACUAAUUAACAUAAAUAGAACUAAAAAGAAAAACAUAGCAAAAAAAAUUAAGAAAUAUAAUAUGAAAAGAACAGCAUUUACUACUUGACAUGCCCAAUAUACAGUAAGUUUGUAAUCAAAAGUGUUUACAUCUUCACUGAAAUAUGUGCUUGCCUUCUCAGCAAUGCUAUUAGUACAAUUCAUUAUAUAGUUUAUACCUGCUUGAGUAUACGUGCUAUAAAAAUAAUCGACAUAUGUUGCGGCUGAUAAAAACGUUGACGUUAUAUAAGUACUACUUCCGCUCAAAAACUCUAAGUGUCGCACUACUACAUCGUCUAGGAACUCAGGUUUUUCAGAAAACCAUUCAAUAAAUACACAUACACCAAGAUAUAAGAAGCAAACCGAUGUGAAGAUCAGGAAGAUGAUUGUAGCAAAACGGGCUACGCUAUUACCUGAAAAAAAAAUCAGUAGCAGCGGCUUGAACUAUUUGUAUAAAGCAUUAUUAUUCAGGUUAAGAAAACCUAGAUUCUUAAUACCUUUCAUACAUGUGCAUUGUUUUAAGAAGUUUCCGUCCGUCAAAUAUCCAUUGACCUUAACCUUAUUUUCAUAAUUUAGAGCUUGCUUAAACAACUAUAGCUUCUUUUGUCGAUUUAAAUUCUUGCUAAUUUUGAGUAAUAGAUAACUAUACAUGGGUUAUGAGAGCAUUGAGACCGUCUAUCAGUUACUAUAAUCGAUAGGUACACGAUAUUUGGUGGGUGAAAUAGUUGUAAAGUGAACAAAUCUGUCUGGUAAGGUUCAUCUGAUCUUCACCUCAAUUUAAUAGUUUAUCAAUCAAUGUUAAGUUUUCUUGGUUAGAUCUGGUUUUACAAAUACUAUAUAACAAUAUGUUAACAUUAUUUAAUGUAUGGUAUGUUUGACAUGGCUUAUCCUACCUUUACCAGUAUCUCAUUUUCAUAAAUUAUGGAUAAUACUAAUUUCAUGUAAUACUAUGCAAUUUCUGUAUCCAUUUAACAUAAAUUUAAUCAUCAUCAGUACAUGAAAAUCACGCGAGACAUUUCAGCGUGUGUACGUUGUGAAGUCACCUUACAUUUU
rnacentral:lncRNA from 1 species